rnacentral:rRNA from 1 species
AGCAGCCGCGGUAAUUCCAGCUCCAAUAGCGUAUAUUAAAGUUGUUGCAGUUAAAAAGCUCGUAGUUGAAUUUCGGGAUCAAUAUGCUGGUCGUGCCUUCGGUACGCACUGGUAUUAUUGGUUUCUCCUUUCUGAUGAAUCGCGAUGUCAUUAAUUUGGUGUCGUGGGGAAUCAGGACUGUUACUUUGAAAAAUUAGAGUGUUUAAAGCAGGCUCACGCUUGAAUACAUUAGCAUGGAAUAAUGAAAUAGGACGUUUGAUUCUAUUUUGUUGGUUUCUAGGAUCGACGUAAUGAUUAAUAGGGAUAGUUGGGGGCAUUAGUAUUCAAUUGUCAGAGGUGAAAUUCUUGGAUUUAUUGAAGACUAACUACUGCGAAAGCAUUUGCCAAGGAUGUUUUCAUUAAUCAAGAACGAAAGUUAGGGGAUCGAAGACGAUCAGAUACCGUCGUAGU